UGGGGAAUUUUGGACAAUGGGGGCAACCCUGAUCCAGCCAUUCCGCGUGAGUGAAGAAGGCCUUCGGGUUGUAAAGCUCUUUCAGCUGGAACGAAACGGUGCGCUCUAACAUAGCGCGCUACUGACGGUACCAGCAGAAGAAGCACCGGCUAACUACGUGCCAGCAGCCGCGGUAAUACGUAGGGUGCGAGCGUUAAUCGGAAUUACUGGGCGUAAAGCGUGCGCAGGCGGAUUGUUAAGCAAGACGUGAAAUCCCCGGGCUUAACCUGGGCAUGGCGUUUUGAACUGGCAGUCUAGAGUGCGUCAGAGGGGGGUGGAAUUCCACGUGUAGCAGUGAAAUGCGUAGAGAUGUGGAGGAACACCGAUGGCGAAGGCAGCCCCCUGGGAUGACACUGACGCUCAUGUACGAAAGCGUGGGUAGCAAACA
rnacentral:rRNA from 1 species